UUUCAUUCAAUAAAACAUCAUGAUGAAAUUUACAUUUUUUACUGGUAAAAAAUAUAUAAAUUUUGAAUUUACAUUUAAAAAAGGCUGAAAAGGUCGCAAUCAGGGGAGUUCACAUGUACCCCCUUCCAGAUAUAUUCAGUUUAUUGUAUAGGCCUAGUUACAUGUGGUCCGAAAAAAUGUAUACCGACAAAAAAGUGUCUAUCCAGCGAGUGUACGGAUGCAGUUGGAGUGGAAACGGGUCGCCAUAACGUCCUUGUACUUUUGCACUUGCAGUCAAUGCGUACAGCGUCAGUAUAAGCACGUCAAUUUUACUGUUAAUAUAGCGUUGCAAGUAUGAAUUAAUUGUCCAUAACAAAAAAAGUUUCAAAACUGACAGUGGUAAUGUGAAGAAAAAAAAAAUGUCGAACAACAAUAUCCAAGCAUUUAGCCUACACACAUCUGACAUUUCAACCGGCUUCAUUGAUUGUUCAUCAAAUUUCGAGUUUGAUGAUAUGUUAUCAACUACCCCGAGACGAGUAUUUUUCAGCUCAUUAUUAAGCCAAUAAGCAAAUAAUUCUGUUGACGAAAUUAAUAUGACAAAAUAUUGUAUGAUAUUGUGACACUUACCUUAACGUCGUCGAUUUCAAGCAUGUAUUUUUGAGGAUUGUGACAAUGAACACGAGCGAAUAAAUGACAUAUGGGCUGGCGAUGAUAUGUCUUGAAGCACUUU